CACGCCGUAAACGAUGAAUACUAAGUGUUGGAGAAAUUCAGUGCUGCAGUUAACGCAAUAAGUAUUCCGCCUGGGGAGUACGCACGCAAGUGUGAAACUCAAAGGAAUUGACGGGGACCCGCACAAGCGGUGGAUUAUGUGGUUUAAUUCGAUGCAACGCGAAGAACCUUACCAAGCCUUGACAUCUUCGGCAAAGCUCUGGAGACAGAGCGGAGGAUAUCCGAAAGACAGGUGG
rnacentral:rRNA from 1 species